CCUAUACAUCUUCUGAAUCAGAUAUCUUUUUGAUAUUUCUCUUGUAUCAGAUUUAUGUUAUUCUAUGUCUCUCCUUUCCCACUCCUGAUAAGUUUCAUCUCCUUCCCCAGUCAUGAUAUAUGACAAACACAAAACAACAGUGAUAGCUGUUGUUAUGUUUACAAUAACUUCUGUUGUACAAAAAGAAAAUUUCACAGACUAUUCCCAACUAGGUGGCAUACCUGUGAAAGGCUUGUGUUAUACCAACUGAGACCCACAGACCUACAAUCUUCUUGCUCCUAUUAAUGCCAUAAUGCCUAAAAUAAUUAUUGCUUGUGCAGAUCUUAAACAACUCUGCAUUUUUCCUUCUUCCAAACACAACAAAGUAUGUUAUCCCAAAUCUCUGCUCCUGAAUGCCAUGCAUUGGUGAAGGGAGUUGGGAAGAAGCUGGGAGUUAAGACUCAACAUGCUUUUCAUGAUCUGAAAUAUUUUUUGGACCAAAGAUAAUACAGACUGUGGAUUUUUUUUUUUUUGCCAAAAAAACAGAUUUUUUGUUUUAGCUCGUGAUCCAGAAGCUAAAACUAUGUCAACUGGGUAAUCAGUUUAAUGGUCAUUGUAGAAUGAUAGACAAAAUGAGUGUCAGGCACAUUAAAUAGCCAGAAAACAAAAGUACAUUGUCAGCUAGCAACAAGGAGAGAAUCUUAACAGAUGUAAUUUAUAACAUUACUGUUGAUGAAGUUAGUAACCUUUGGCAAGGAGACAAAGAAUCAAUAACUGCCUGAGAGUAUGCAGCUACAGAAACUUUGUGGGAAUUGACCUUGAAGUCAGGUGAAAGAGGUGCUGGUAGAAUAUUUAAAUCAGAUGAAAAAAAACUGAGAUUAAUUAUAAAUAAGUGACCAAAAGUGUGGCAUUAAAAUAAUGAUUUCUUCAAUUUCCUAGGAAAACUGAACAAAUAUUUAUUAAAAGUAUAGAAAAUUUAGAUAAUUAUACAAUGAUGGAUUCAUGGAAAGGACUUCAGGUAUUUAAACUAUGGCUUUGAAAGUGCAGAAUGGAGAAACCUAUUUUUAAAAUUCAGGGCAUGCUCUUCUAUUUAUCAGUGCCCCAUGUAUUUCUCUUCUUAGAUUUUAUGGUCUUAUUGUUGAAAUGCUUCUCAAAUAGCCUACUCAAUUGGACCAUGGUAUAUCGAUGAACAGAGUUAAUCAACAGACUAGGUGGUUCUCUGAUUUAAUUGUUUGGAAGCAGUCACUGGAAGCAAAAUGAUAUCUAUGUGACUCAGCUUUGGUGAUAUAGUCCAGCUGGGGUCUGACAGGUUUUCUCCAGAGACUCCGGUUUCUUCCCACCUUCCAAAGAUGUGCACCUAAGGUGAAUGGAGUGUGUGAGUGGCCCUGAGAUGGAAAGGUAUCCUGUUCAGGCCUGGUUCCCAUCACCCUAAACUGGAAUAAGUGGUCUGGAAAAUAAUUAUCUUACUUGGAUUUAUUAAUUUUUCUUAAAUGUCUAUAUAGCUCAUAUUAAUUUCAAUGUUUAAUAUUUAACAUGUUUUAGGUCUUUAUUAAGAACUGUGGAAAUAUUUUGCAAUGAGAAAUAUGCUAUAAGCACUUUAUUCUUUUUC